rnacentral:rRNA from 1 species
UACGGGGGGAGCAAGCGUUGUUCGGAUUUACUGGGCGUAAAGGGCGCGUAGGCGGUCAGCACAAGUCAGUUGUGAAAUCUCCGGGCUUAACCCGGAAAGGUCAACUGAUACUGUGCGACUAGAGUGCGGAAGGGGCAACUGGAAUUCUCGGUGUAGCGGUGAAAUGCGUAGAUAUCGAGAGGAACACCUGCGGCGAAGGCGGGUUGCUGGGCUGACACUGACGCUGAAGUGCGAAAGCUAGGGGAGCGAACGGG